CAAAAAGUCAAUGGUUGUUUUAUCUCGGAAUAUUGUAAAUAUGUGUCCGUAAGAUUGACUGGAACCCAAUGUCGAAAUUAUUUUCCGUUUUUCUGAAAAACGGUAAGAGACCGCCAGGAAAAAAGUUCAGAUUCUUAAUCUACGACCUCAAAAUAGGGUGUAUACCAAUUUUGGUGAAAAUCGGACGAUUUCCAGUUUUCCCAAUAAUUACCAAAUUACGAUAUGCAGCUGUAUGUUCAGACCAUUUCAUAACAGGCUAUCCAUCUCCAGUGGGUAAAGUAAAUCAUCCAGAUUAUAUACGUUCCAACCCAAAAGCUGGGAUAUGUAACAAGCUUCUUAGUUCAGACUACUGCUGUUGAUAGAUACAACAAGACAACGAAAAGUCUGCGACGGAGCAGUUUACAGGCUUUUUUACAAACUUGCAUUGUUGCUACAGGCAAUUUUAACUACGAGAACAUCUUGAUAGUCACUUUUCUCUUAUCUUUGUUGUACGAUCAAGUAUUCUUUGGCAAAAAAAACCCAAUUCAAAGUUAGAUCUUUUUUGGACCACGCGUUAACUGUUGGUGUCUGGGCUGGUCUAGCCUAUGGCGCUGUUAAAUUAUAAGGAAUAAAAUUUACUGGUGGAAUAUUGGAUGCUCAAAUUGUGUGCGGCGCAGCAGGUCAAGCGCGGGUACAUGAAAAUUAGCGGAGUUGAUUAGCUGUGUGGUUCCGGCGCAUGCGUAUUGGAACGGCAGAAGAAUGUAAUGCUUCAAUAUAGCUUGGUUUCGAAAGCAGCAUGUAGCUCCGUGGAUGAGACCAUAAAAUAAUUAACUAGAAAGAAGUGUCAACUCUGUGUUAAAUCGUGGAAACACGAUACGCCACCGAAAGC